rnacentral:rRNA from 1 species
UACGUAGGUGGCAAGCGUUGUCCGGAUUUACUGGGUUUAAAGGGUGCGUAGGCGGGUCUUUAAGUCAGUGGUGAAAUCCUCCCGCUUAACGGGAGAACUGCCAUUGAUACUAUUGAUCUUGAAUUCAGUUGAGGUGGGCGGAAUGUGUCGUGUAGCGGUGAAAUGCUUAGAUAUGACACAGAACACCGAUUGCGAAGGCAGCUCGCUAAACUGACAUUGACGCUGAGGCACGAAAGCGUGGGGAUCAAACAGG